AGCCAUAUCUCAUUGAAACACCAGUUCUCAUCUGAUCACCAAAGUUAAACAAUGUCAAGUCUGGUCAGUGCUUAGAUGGGUGACUGCUUGGGAAUACCAGGUUCUGUAGG